AUCCGGGCGAGCACGCUCCAGCCAUUGGCUACCUCGCCGGACGUCCACCGAGACAGCCAAUCCUGAGCCAGCAGCGAAGGGCAGAAGCGAGGAAUCGAAAGCCGCGGAAAGGGCGCGCGAGGCGGAAAUUGCAUAGGAAGUGAUUUCAGGAUUCUCAGUGCGCCAGCAAUGUUUUCGGGGGGAAGACCCAGUAUGGAAGGCGCCAGAUUAAAAAUGAAAGAUUUGCCCAAAAAAGUAUUUCAGCUGUGCUCAGGUGGCGUCUGUGGCCUAACACCAAAAGGAGGAUGUGUUCUGGGUGGUGCAUAUAUGAUUCUAAUGACAGUUAUGUACCUUAUCUUUGAGUUUGGACACCUAAACCGGGCCUUGUAUCACUUGGAGGCAAGUGAUACAAGACAUUCUGUGGGCAUAGUAAGGAUUAUUCCAUAUUGCUAUUAUGUAGCAAUUGGCUUAGCCUGUGUCACUUUUGUAGUAUGUAUAUACUUUCUCUAUUCUGUCCAGAAGCGAGACACAGUGGGAUUAUUUAUCUACCUUACUUGGAUAAUUAUUUAUGACAUAACCAAUUUCAUCAUUGUAACCUUGACUAGCAGGGCUGCAAAGAGAGCUAAUUUUUCCAUCAGUCCUUUGGAAUGGUUUGGAUUGAUCACUAGGAUCCUCUGCGAUUUCAUAUGGCUCUCCUUCAUUGUAGCUUUUGCUAUGAUUAUUAUUGAAGGCAGAAGAGCAGGGCGAACAUCACUGAGGACAAGAAGAGUAUCAAGACAUGUGGCAGAACCUCCCAAGUUUCGACUGGGCGUCCAUUCGAGGGGAAUUGUAUGAGCAUUAUCAGGUUACUUCUCUAUGCAUUUGUGGACACUGCCACCACAAUGUUGGAAGCAUAAAGAAAUAUGUAGCUCACCAACUAUAUAUUUCCAUGUACUGUGUGCCUAAUUAGCCUCUUGUUAUUGCUGCCUGCCUGGAAUUGCUGAAGUGGGAGUUGUCAAGUACUUGGAAAACCACAAAAUUUAGCUAGUAGGCUAUGUUUCGUGAGCCCAAAAUGAAAGACUGGUUUGUAAAUCCUGAGUAGUGUUUUAAUUAGUUUAACUUGUUUUUAUUUAGUUACCUUAUAACAUUGACCUGAUGGACUUAGUAGAUGUAAAUUGUCUAUCUUUUUCAUUUGGGAUUAUUUUCACCCAGGUUUUGCAUAAUUGAAUGUAAGGAAAUUAGAACUAUGACCCUAAAAUAUUGGGGCAGGUGAUGGUUCUGUUUCUAGUCCAUAAUCACAAUUAUGUGCCUCUGGAAUUCUUGAUUGUAUAUUGUAGUGGAGAGGUGUAAAGCUUCCAAUCAUGUAUAAAGUAUUUUGAGAUAUGUAUCUAUGUAUAUAUUAAACUGUGCAAUGGAAAUGUUUUAUUGCUAAAUGCUAAAGAAGAACUAGUUCUCUUUCAUGGACCAGACUUACAUAUUCCCACAUAGUUGCUUAAUAAUGUGUAUGCAGAUAUGGGGAAUUUGCAGAGAGGAAAUAACUAUACAGUUGGCCCUCCACAUUCACAAGUUUGGGGUUUGCAGAUUUGAUCAUUCACGGGUUUGCCUUCCCCUUCCUCCAAGGCUCUAGAGACAUGUGGGGCCAGGACAAGUCCUCUGUAGCUGAGAAAGUCCCUUUUUAUCACAUCACUGUUCCUUGCUUCCCACCUGAUGUCUGAGACUCUUUCUUUAAAGAAUCUACCUGUCAGGUUUGGUUUCUCUCUCUUCACUCAGCAGGCGGGCUGAAUGCUGAGUUGAGCAUGACUUUUUCACUUAGAUGAAAUGUCUUUCUGGGUAGCAAGAUUCUGGGCAUAUUUGCUCUGCUACCAUUCCGGCACAAAAUUCUCUCACCAAGUCCUGACACUCUCAACUGAUAGCUGUGAAGGUAUGGGGAAGCACCGGAUGCCACUAACUCUGCAAGUCAGUUGCUGUAGCAGUCAUAAGGCAAAGAUUUAAAUCCUGGGAGAGACCACCCCCCACUCUCUAGGAGAGUUGGCUACUUUAGUUUUCCUUGCCCUGGUUUCUCCUAUACCAACAGCGGUCCUUUUCCUUAAUCAUUCUUGCCCCAACUGUCUGGGUGUCAUCGCUAGGAUCCAGCUGAGAUUAGAGAAACAGCAUCAGGGUGCAGGGAGAGCCUGCCAUUGCUGGCCUUUCCAAGUGGGAGAUCUUGUCAGACAAUGAUGCCACCUCUGAAAGAAAAACUCACAUUUGGGUCAGGUAGCGAAGCAGCAAAGGGAGAGAUACCAAACCCAACAGGUGGGUACUUGCAAGAGAAAGAGGGAGGAGACUAAGAAUGCCAGCAGGAAAGGAAAAAUGGGGAGGGGAAAAAGGAACUUCCCAGCUGAGGAGGGUUUGAUAUAGUCUGACAUGUGGGCACAAAAAAGAAAGCAGAAAUUUGCAAGUAAGAACAGUUGAACCAGCUAUGUCUAGGCUUCCAGAACUGAUUGGUAAAGAGUAUUACUGCUGAUGGUUUCUCCUUCUUUGCUACUUUGGAAUAGGUGGAGGAAGAGCAAGCCCCAUAUCUGCCAGCUCCACAAAGAAGCCUUGACCCGUCCCAGGAGAUAUUCGUGGUUUCCCCACUUUCACGGCUUCUUGCUCCCCUAACCCCACAAAUGUGGAGUGCCAACUAUAUAUUUAACUUCCUUUGGUGCUCUUUUCUAUCAUCUGCUUUUUCUCAAUCAGGUCUGAAAAAAACCUGUUCAGGAGGAUGCUCUAGCAGGACUGGCUCAAUAUACAAAGCCUUACUCUCUUCACAUCUUCCUUGCAAAUGUCAACUUUUCAUGUAUGUGUUUCAGCAAAACCAGGAUUGGGAAGGGAACCCAUGUUUGCGUGCAUGAAAUGUAGCAAUAACCCCACAUACAGAUCUCUCUUAGUGCUGUCAUUUGAAAUGUAUUUAAUUGUACCACAACUGUAUGGCAUUGCAGAAGAGAUUGUGCUGAGAUCUAUAAAGCACUAUAUGGUCCUCUAAUAUAUUCCUAAUAUUUAUGAACAUACAUAUUGAUUUGUAGUAUUUAAAUAUGUAAUAUGUUCCUACUCUGAAAUCUUCCUGAAUUAUGAUUUUGGUGAAAAUCUAAUAAAGUUUCAUAUUUUAAACUGGAAAGUUUAAUUAGUUCACAUUUAUUGCAACAGUAUUUUUUACCACACAUACGAGUAUUUGUUUUAAAAGUAAAUUGGAGUGUCUUUUUAUUCCUAGGGGAAAUGCGUGAAGAUCUUGACAAAGUGUCCUUGAAAUCACUGAUAUCUUUGAACUCACAAUAAAUGCCUU